GAUGAAUGCUGGCGGCGUGCCUAAUACAUGCAAGUCGAGCGGUAAGGCCCUUCGGGGUACACGAGCGGCGGACGGCUGAGUAACGCGUGGGAACAUGCCCCAAAGUGAGGGAUAACGCACCGAAAGGUGUGCUAAUACCGCAUAUGGUCUUCGGAUUAAAGGAUUUAUCCGCUUUGGGAGUGGCCCGCGUACGAUUAGAUUGUUGGUGAGGUAACGGCUCACCAAGUCGACGAUCGUUAACUGGUCUGAGAGGAUGAUCAGUCAGACUGGAACUGAGACACGGUCCAGACUCCUACGGGAGGCAGCAGUAAGGGAUCUUCCACAAUGGGCGAAAGCCUGAUGGAGCAACGCCGCGUGCAGGAUGAAGGCCCUCGGGUCGUAAACUGCUUUAUGAGUGAAGAAUAUGACGGUAACUCCUGAAUAAGCACCGGCUAACUACGUGCCAGCAGCCGCGGUAAU
rnacentral:rRNA from 1 species